UCAAAGAUUUGUGCGGCAAACGCACGUACGUAAAUCUGUGCGUGCGCACGGUUAGUGAAUGAGGCCCAUUGUAAGGAAGUAAAGGCAGCUACUUGUUCAAACAGCAAACGAGAAGAACACGGAUACUGUUGCAAUCUUAACAUGACUAAAUGUUGUUUGUGACAUAUGUGAAAAUGAUCCAUUCUAAAGCCUGGAAAUUCUACUCACCCAGAUCCAUGAUGCACUACAAUGGCUGCCAGGUCAUACCGACAGCUCUCCGCUAACAAACUCUCUGGCUGAAAAGACAAAAGCAAGUUAUGCAUCCAGCAGAAGUUCGGCACCCAUUCCAGUACCCAGUGCAGAGGAAAAAAAGGUUGUGCUUCGAGCAGAAGUCGGGACUGGUUUCAAGGACAAUGACAACCACACAAAACCACCACCAAAGAAUAAAAUCCAGAUGUGGAUAAAACUUUGCUAGAUUUUAUGUGCAAGCUAAUAAAAACUUGGACUAUUGAGCAAACGGUAGAGGAGGAGAAUUUGGAGGAAAAAAAGUGCAAGUGUGGGAACCCCAUUUGUUCAUGCAUUUUUGUCUAAUGUAAAUUCUGUACAGUUAUAAUAAAUAAAUAUUUUUUCUGUCA